rnacentral:rRNA from 1 species
UGGGCAACCUGCCCUCAGCUCUGGGACAACUCCGGGAAACCGGGGCUAAUACCGGAUACGACCUUCCCUCGCAUGGGGGUUGGUGGAAAGUUCUUCGGCUGAGGAUGGGCCCGCGGCCUAUCAGCUUGUUGGUGGGGUGAUGGCCUACCAAGGCGACGACGGGUAGCCGGCCUGGGAGGGCGACCUGCCACACUGGGACUGAGACACGGCCCAGACUCCUACGGGAGGCA